rnacentral:rRNA from 1 species
AUUGAACGCUGGCGGCAGGCCUAACACAUGCAGGUCGAGCGGAUGAAGGGAGCUUGCUCCUGGAUUCAGCGGCGGACGGGUGAGUAAUGCCUAGGAAUCUGCCUGGUAGUGGGGGAUAACGUCCGGAAACGGGCGCUAAUACCGCAUACGUCCUGAGGGAGAAAGUGGGGGAUCUUCGGACCUCACGCUAUCAGAUGAGCCUAGGUCGGAUUAGCUAGUUGGUGGGGUAAAGGCCUACCAAGGCGACGAUCCGUAACUGGUCUGAGAGGAUGAUCAGUCACACUGGAACUGAGACACGGUCCAGACUCCUACGGGAGGCAGCAGUGGGGAAUAUUGGACAAUGGGCGAAAGCCUGAUCCAGCCAUGCCGCGUGUGUGAAGAAGGUCUUCGGAUUGUAAAGCACUUUAAGUUGGGAGGAAGGGCAGUAAGUUAGUACCUUGCUGUUUUGACGUUACCAACAGAAUAAGCACCGGCUAACUUCGUG